AAUAGCAGCUAUGUUUCAGGUGCUUUUGCCAUGGAACGGCAAAAGGUAAUAGGGAACCGGGUGUAAGUCCCGGAGGGUCGCGCCACUGUAAUUGGGGAGCUUUUUCCAGUAAGCCACUGGGUUUUUUAAAAGCCCGGGAAGGCGGAAAAAGCGGUGAACCAUGAGUCAGGAAACCUGCCUGGAGCAUUAUCAGCAC
rnacentral:ncRNA from 2 species